UGGGGAAUUUUGGACAAUGGGCGAAGCCUGAUCCAGCAAUGCCGCGUGUGUGAAGAAGGCCUUCGGGUUGUAAAGCACUUUUGUCCGGAAAGAAAUCCUUGGCUCUAAUACAGUCGGGGGAUGACGGUACCGGAAGAAUAAGCACCGGCUAACUACGUGCCAGCAGCCGCGGUAAUACGUAGGGUGCAAGCGUUAAUCGGAAUUACUGGGCGUAAAGCGUGCGCAGGCGGUUUGCUAAGACCGAUGUGAAAUCCCCGGGCUCAACCUGGGAACUGCAUUGGUGACUGGCAGGCUAGAGUAUGGCAGAGGGGGGUAGAAUUCCACGUGUAGCAGUGAAAUGCGUAGAGAUGUGGAGGAAUACCGAUGGCGAAGGCAGCCCCCUGGGCCAAUACUGACGCUCAUGCACGAAAGCGUGGGGAGCAAAACAGGAUUAGAUACCCUGGUAGUCCACGCCCUAAAACGAUGUCAACUAGUUGUUGGGGAUUCAUUUCCUUAGUAACGUAGCUAACGCGUGAAGUUGACCGCCUGGGGAGUACGGUCG
rnacentral:rRNA from 1 species